UGCGAGUCGAACGCCCCGCAAGGGGAGUGGCAGACGGGUGAGUAACGCGUGGGAAUCUACCGUGCCCUGCGGAAUAGCUCCGGGAAACUGGAAUUAAUACCGCRUACGCCCUACGGGGGAAAGAUUUAUCGGGGUAUGAUGAGCCCGCGUUGGAUUAGCUAGUUGGUGGGGUAAAGGCCUACCAAGGCGACGAUCCAUAGCUGGUCUGAGAGGAUGAUCAGCCACAUUGGGACUGAGACACGGCCCAAACUCCUACGGGAGGCAGCAGUGGGGAAUAUUGGACAAUGGGCGCAAGCCUGAUCCAGCCAUGCCGCGUGAGUGAUGAAGGCCUUAGGGUUGUAAAGCUCUUUCACCGGAGAAGAUAUGACGGUAUCCGGAGAAGAAGCCCCGGCUAACUUCGUGCCAGCCG
rnacentral:rRNA from 1 species